rnacentral:rRNA from 1 species
GAAAGAGGGGGCAAGCGUUGUCCGGAGUUACUGGGCGUAAAGAGCGCGGAGGCGGUCUGCGGCGUCGGCGCUGAAAGCGCCCCGCUUAACGGGGCGAGGCGUGCCGAUACGCGCAGACUUGAGGCGAGCAGAGGGUGGUGGAAUUCCGGGUGGAGCGGUGAAAUGCGUAGAGAUCCGGAGGAACGCAAGUGGGGAAGCCGGCCACCUGGGCUCGUCCUGACGCUGCGGCGCGACCGCGUGGGGAGCAAACCGG